GUGAGGGUCUGCUCCGCGGCCGGGGGCUCGGGGGUGAGGGCCUGGUCGCCGGUGUGGUCGCCGCCGGCGAGGACGCCGAGGGAGACCUGUUCGCCGUACUUGCCGCUGCCCGUGCGCCGGAUCUUGCCGUGGGCGAUGAGGAGGAGCUGCGCCGGGUCGCCCGGCGCGAGCACCGUCUGCCCGGCGGUGAACUCGCGCUGCUCGAACCGCUCGGCGAGGGCACGCAGCGCGCCCUCGUCCGUCAGCCCGCGCAGCAGCGGGAUCUCCCGCAGCUCGGCCGGGAUGACGGAGAUGUCGGCGCCAGUGACGACGAACUCGAUCCGGCCGUCGCCGAGGGUGUGCGUCAGACGCCUGUUGACGCGGAACGUGCCGCCGGCGGCCUCGACCCACGGCAGGACCUUCAGCAGCCACCGCGAGGAGAUCCCCUGCAUCUGCGGAGGCGUCUUCGUGGUGGUGGCCAGGCGUCGUGCGGCGGCGGUGGAGAGGCUG
rnacentral:antisense_RNA from 1 species